rnacentral:rRNA from 1 species
UACGGGGGGGGCAAGCGUUGUUCGGAAUUACUGGGCGUAAAGGGCUCGUAGGUGGCCAACUAAGUCAGACGUGAAAUCCCUCAGCUUAACUGGGAAACUGCGUCUGAUACUGGAUGGCUUGAGUUUGGGAGAGGGAUGCGGAAUUCCAGGUGUAGCGGUGAAAUGCGUAGAUAUCUGGAGGAACACCGGUGGCGAAGGCGGCAUCCUGGACCGACACUGACGCUGAGGAGCGAAAGCCAGGGGAGCAAAGCGGG